rnacentral:piRNA from 1 species
AUAGUCAGGACAGACCUGGAUCUGGUA